rnacentral:rRNA from 1 species
UACGGAGGGUGCAAGCGUUGUUCGGAUUCAUUGGGCGUAAAGGGUGCGUAGGCGGCGCGGUAAGUCGGGUGUGAAAUCUCGGAGCUUAACUCCGAAACUGCAUUCGAUACUGCCGUGCUUGAGGACUGGAGAGGAGACUGGAAUUUACGGUGUAGCGGUGAAAUGCGUAGAUAUCGUAAGGAAGACCAGUGGCGAAGGCGGGUCUCUGGACAGUUCCUGACGCUGAGGCACGAAGGUCAGGGGAGCAAACGGGGAUUAGAACUACCCAGUCAGUC